AUGGAGAAGGUUGAAGGAGGGCAGACUGAAAUGCCAUACAAAUUCAAUAAAUCCACAUUGACUCAUGACAACAAGCUAGGCCGGAUUCGGUUUUGUUUAUCCAUGUUGGAUGAAUUAAGCGUGCCUGAUGAACCCACAUUUAAAGGCAUGUACAAUGUCAUUCAUAUCGAUGAGAACUGGUUCUACUGCACUAAAGGUACUCAGAACUACUACUUGGCACCUGAUGAAGAAGAACCUUAUCGCAUCACACAGAGCAAGGGAUUCAUUGAGAAAGUGAUGUUCUUGGCAGCAGUAGCAAGGCCUCAUUAUGAUGAUCAUGGUGUCAUGACAUUUGAUGGCAAGACUGGGAUUUGGCCAUUCACAUAUCAGGACUUUGUAAUGAAGCGUAACCCUUACCGAGCGAGGGGGAAGAGGUAA
rnacentral:rRNA from 1 species